ensembl:lncRNA
UAUAUAUAUAUAUAUAUAUAUGUAUUCUAUAUCCAUCAUACUAUAAAUAAUGGUUACUGGGUGGGUUGGUUGUAUCGCAAAACUUAUCGCUUUUGUUAUCACAGCUUGCUGUAAUAAUGCUAGACUAAGUGGGCAUGUCCUUUCAUCCUUUUUCUGAGGAUCGAAGAUAUUGUUUACAGGACAAUAGUACUGGAAACUGGAGACAGACAACUGGGAACACACAACUGCAAAACCCAUCAUUAAAUGUUCAAUUUAUGCAUCAGAUCUAGGCCUUAAAACAGUGAAUAUUUAUCGUGAUUUACUAUACCCUGAUUUUAACAAAGCAGGAAGCUAUUAAAACCAAUUCAAAAUGAGGAGUUCAGUUCUUAACGUGUUAAGACUACUGAUGUUUACAGAUCACUCAAGUUCGAUAUAACCACAUCACAAGGCCCUGAUUGUGUGGAAUCUGUAUUUCUAAACUUAGCAGUUGAUAUUAUUUCAUCUCUUUUAAUUUAUCAUGUUAAUCUUUCAUUAGACAAUGAGGUUAUACCAGAAAUUUGGAAAUCAGUUUUCUUAUUUAUUUAUUACAUUAAAUCAGGGACAUCCAACUAUAUUAGAUCAUUACAAUCCAAUAACAAGGCCUCCUCGCCUAUGUCCCUUGUAGAAAGCUUUUUCAGUGAACCGUUCACAUGUUAUCAGUCUGCAAGAAGUCUAAGGUCAUAAAAACAUAUCAGCACAACUAUUGUUUUGAAAGUCGUAAAACAAUGUCACGGUACCCUCUGCACUUCCCUGUCUGUUGAUUUAGAAGAGGCUCCCAACACAGUGAAUCAGGAAAUAUUGCUGCAGAGAUUAAAUACUGUCAUUCAUGACAAUUAAAUGUUGCUCACUUUGGAGGAAUGUGAAUAUGUAUUUAACUUAGUCUAAAUUUAAAAUUUAUCAUCUGUGAGCUUUGUUUCAAUUUACCACCAAGUUGUUACCUUGGCUGAACGCCCAAUUGUAAGAAGCAUAAGAUUCGUCCUAUAAUUUUAUCCAUUUCAUUUAAACUGUAUUUGACCAUAUUAAGGUAGUGUUAAAUCUACUCAUAUCACAAACCACAUUUCCCAUCCUUCACUGCGGUCCACAAACAUGGCUGGCUGCCAUGGACUGCAAUUCCCAGAUCACACACACCUGCAUCCAGUUCUCAGCUCUCAGUUUUUAUCAGUUCUCAGCUGCUGUAUAACGUAUUAUCAAUUCAAUUCACUUCACAGGUUGUGUAGUAUAUCCUCCCUUUCUCGAGUUUGUGACCACUGCUUUGUAUUAUUUAAAUAUUGUAACUCGUAUACUUUAUAUGGCAUAUCCAUAGCACACCGUAUAGCACAUAUGUAUAUAUAUACACACACACACACACACACAUACACAUACAUAUACACACCCACACAUAUAUAUUUGCAUAACUACUCUACUCUAUUCACCAAUCUACGGUUCAGGAAAAAAAAAACACUUCAAACUACACUAUUGUAAAGGGACCGUAAUUAAACUACCUCCCAAACUCAUAUCAGCACAACAUGUCGGCAAAAGGAACCAUUAUGCAAGGCUGUCUAAUCCAGAUACUCGUACUCCCUGCAAAACCCGAAUUCCACAUUAAGUAAUCAUUACCUUUUUCUAAUGCUACGGACUCAGAUAUCAUAUCUGUAACAGGCGUACAACACUUUACAGAGAGUUUAAAAUGUGCAGACUGCUAGUGCCAUCUGAUCUUACUAAUUACUUAUCAUUGGACAUAUCCAGCAUUUAAAGAGAAAACAUGCAGAAAUUAUUCAGCAUUAUACAACAUGAAUACCACACGCCAGAAGAAUUCGCAUUUACACUGCUUAAGAUAUUGUAUAGACACGUACCCGUAUAACAAUCACCGAUACACAAAUUAGUUAUGGUUACUCCAGCUCUUGUUAGCGAGUCAGUUCAUGAAGGUAGACUGCUCUCUAAAACCAAAUGUUUAGGCUCAACAUUAUCUCAACAGGGAGGAUGUGACCUAGCCUGAUACGGACCACAUUGUGAUCAGCCAGAGACUGUUACCUCGGGUCGGUUUUACUUUUCAGGGUUUUUUAUUAAUAUCACUCAAAACGAACAGGUUCACAUGUCAGCUGAUCAAUUUUAUCAUUAGUCAGGCAAAGAUGUCUGUGCAGAAGAAACUAUGUGGCACAAUGCACACCACAUAAACUAUUAUUAAAGUUCUCUCCGGACUGAUACCAUCGAGACAUGCUGGUUGAUUUUAAUUUUUACAGGAAUAUAUUUACGUAUAUAUAUAUAUAUUGAAUCACUUUGACUUUAAUAUAGGGCGUGAGAUAACUAAAGGAUUGGAAAAAGGGGAAGAAACAGAAAUCUCUCGCACGAAUAUCUCUGGUUUAGAUAACCGUCACCAUGGAACUCAAAACACUUUCAUUCAGUUUCCAAACAGGGAAACACACGGAAUUCAAAUUAAAAUGAAAAGAAUGAUUUGGAGCUCCGGCGCGCAUGAUUCU